CCUGACCACAAUUGGGCCUCAACAAGUAUUUAUUCAAAUCAGCAAAAGAGGCUGUGAAGGCUGAUCCAUGAUAUCACAGUAUCCCCGUUGGUGGCUUCCUUCAUCUCUCUCUCACACACACACACACACACACACACUCCCACACACAC